rnacentral:rRNA from 1 species
AUUGAACGCUGGCGGCAGGCCUAACACAUGCAAGUCGAGCGAGCGGCGGACGGGUGAGUAAUAUAUCGGAACCUGCCCGGUGGCGGGGGAUAACUACUCGAAACAGUGGCUAAUACCGCAUACCAUCAGAUGUGCCCAGAUGGGAUUAGCUAGUUGGUGGGGUAAUGGCUCACCUAGGCAACGAUCCCUAGCUGGUCUGAGAGGAUGACCAGCCACACUGGGACUGAGACACGGCCCAGACUCCUACGGGAGGCAGCAGUGGGGAAUAUUGGACAAUGGGCGAAAGCCUGAUGCAGCCAGGCCGCGUGUGUGAAGAAGGCCUUCGGGUUGUAAAGUACUUUCAGCGGGGAGGCGUUACCCGCAGAAGAAGCACCGGCUAACUCCGUGCCAGCAGCCGCGGUAAUAC